rnacentral:RNase_P_RNA from 1 species
CAAGUAGGCAAGGCAAUCGCUUUUCAUCGGCGCUUUGCGCUAAUGAGGAGAGGAAAGUCCGAACACCCAGUGGCUGUUUGCCAGCGACACAGGCAGCGGGUAAUACCCGUCGUCCGUGAGGAUAGAGGUGCGAACAGUGACGUCCUGAGCCGAAAGGCGAGGGGUGCCCCUUUGGGGUAAGCCCUUGAGGAAACUCAAGGGGUGAAACGGCUAAAUCCUUGCCCGGGUGCAAGAGCAAAUUGUAGCUCGCAUGAUCCUGAGAGUAAUCGAAGGACAAGAUAGAUGAUUGCCCAAAACAGAAUUCGGCUUAUUGCCUACUUGGCAU